AAUAGGAAGAUGCAGUUAGAUUCUGGAAUUCAAAGAAAUGAGAGGUAUUACGUACUUCCAAAUUCUUAUAAAAUUUUCGGUAUAUAGUGUGUAAAUGGGCCAAUUUGCCUGGCCCGUUAUAAACUAAAAAUAAAUAUAAAAUCCAAACCUUAUAACAGUCCAAAGUCCAAAACUAUUACAAUGGCCCAUAGCCCAUUUACAAAUAAACCCAGACCCAAAGUUACAAGGCCCAAAUGGCCUAAAAGACUUUAGAAAUAGAAACCCUAGGGUUUCUCUCCCUUGGCCCGCAGCCUUCAGCCGCCGUACAGCCCCAACGCCGCUCGUGCCUCCACAUCAACAGGCUGUACGCCACCCUCACGCCUAGUGCCAGCACACGCUCCGUACCUGCAAAAGAAAAUAAGAAAACAGCAGCAGAGCAGCAGCCAAUAGGAGAACAAAAAUUGUUGUUUUUUUCUUUUGAUUAUUUGGCUAUAAAGCCUUUUAUUUUCGAUUGUAAACGCUUUUUUUUACGAACACAGAGGAUAAAAAAAAGCAAUCAAAUAGCAGAGGUGAUUUCUUUGUUCUCGGAAUCUCUUUAGCUUUCUAUGAACCGUUUUGUUUUCUGCUUGAGUCAUUCAUUAUUGUUAUUGUAAAAAACAAAUAAAAAGAACAGUGACAGAAGAGCCUUACCUUGCGAACAAGCCAUCGAUUUCUACUUUCGCUUCGUUGAAAUCAAAGUCGAAAAGGGAUCUCGAGGCUGAAAACCACCUCCCCCAGAGCCCGAAUACACUGGUUGCCGAUGGUGGUGGCAGAUCGAUAUUCGAGGAAAUGUGGAUUAGGGUUCGGCUAAGUAGAGAAAGGGGGAGGGCUUAGUUUCUUUGUUUUGGGUUCCUAAAUGGAUAAGUAUAUUAGUUUUAGGGUUAAUUUUUUUGGGUUUUAA
rnacentral:lncRNA from 1 species